UUUAAAACUUUUCAUCCAUGCAAGGUUGUAAAAUACUCAGCUGCAAUCCUGUUCAUAAAUUCCUCGAAAUAGCAAAACAGCAUUUCCUGUCAAAUGCUCCCCAGUUGAAAGGGGACAAGAGUUCUGCUUUUACUGAAGUUGAGGGCCAGUGAGGAGCGUUAAGAAUACGCUAGUCACAGUUUCUUGUCUCCCUUUGACAAAUUAAAAGUGCUUUGGUGUAAAAUAUUAAAAACCCGUAAGUCAAUGUUUGUGUGUGUGAUAUGUGAAAUUAGGCAUUUAUUCCAAUAAUUUCUUAAACAUCAUUCUAGUAAGAGGUAACUGUACACUGAUCCAAUAGUCAAAAAAUUGUGUUGAUUCUCGAAUUACCCUGGAAGAAGUAUCUUGGGGGGAGCAAAAUAUGUGCUUAUCAACGUUUUUCAUAACAAAAAUACAAAUCAAAUUUUUUUUUUAAUUUCAUUGAAAAUUUGUUUGAUUUUUUUUUUUAAGUAAUUAUUUCUCAAUGUAUCUCUUCCCGACAAAAUAUAAAGCAAUAAAGUUUAGUAAGGUCAUCUUGAUCAUUGAUUUCCGCCGCGUAAGGCGUAAUCUUUAAAAUCGCUUUGGAAGAUAGAGAGAUAGGGACCACCUAUAGCCUGAACGCGCGGUGUCCAGAUUAAAGUAUUUUACCCUGGGCCUGGAAGUUGUUUAAUUUCUUAAAAGCCAAUAGAAAUCCGUUAUGUGAUUUUUUAGCCAAUACCUUAUCGGUAAAAAAAAAGUCGGCAAAAAGUGACCAAAUUUUGGCUAGGUGACUAAAUUUUUUACCGACCAAUUUUUUUACCGACAUUUUUUUUUGCCGACCGAAAAUUUUUACCGACUUUUUUUUUACCGACUAGUAAUAUUUGCCGAUUUUUUGAAUUACUUUUUAACCUCCAAUUUUUUAGUUUUUUGACUUUCCAAAGUGAUUCCAGGGAUUCUAAUCAAAUUUAGACUUUGUCGUUUUAUGAAGCCUCAUCCGCAAUAUUAUACGGAGUAUACACCAAAUAGCGGAGCUCCGCUAUAUUAUGUCUUUGUAUACACUAAGUUUGAACCAAUUGAACCAAUAGCUUUCUCUUAAACCCACGUGAGAUGAUAAAAGCAAAUAAUUUGAGAGCCGGGAGAUGUCCAAAAUAUUAUUGAUAAAAUCAUUAAUAAAGAUGUUAUUGAAAUAGAUUAGAUUGUUGUAAAAUCUUUGUUCUCUUUUAAUUCAGCGGUGUCAAAAAAGUCGGCAAUAAGUGACCAAUAUUAAAAAAAUUAACCGGUAAAAAGUGACUAAUUUUUGCAAAGUGACUAACUUUUUUGCCGACUAAAUUUUUUGCCGACUUUUUUUUACACCGACCUUUUUUUUACCGAUAAGGUAGGGUCUCAGAUUGUCAGAACCUGAUAUCGUGGCUUCCUGUGAUGCUUUGUAGAUAGAUAGAUAGAUGUGCAUAUUUUACAUGGCUAGCCUCACAAAUAUACAGGGAUAUACCCUGUCUAUUAUUUCCAGGAGGGGCCAUGGCGUAGAUGGAGAGUCCUAGAGUAUUUAAUGCUCAUUUUGAGCUACGCAGACCCAAUUAGAGCCCGAGCUCUACUAGACAACUCCCGGCAACAUCCAACGGCCCACACACUGUGCCAUCUUCCCAUCAAACCCCGGUCUCCCGCACAGAGUACGAGAGCUAUAACCACUAAUCUACGGCGCCACAUGGCUUGGGUUAACCCGGGGCUAUGGUAACAUUCACACUCGCCCAUGUUGAAUCGCCGUCAAGAGGAAUCGAAUCUACGGCGCCACAAAAUUAUUGUCUCGAAGUUCUUCGAGUUUCAGGUCCCACACGCCAAAGUUUCUUGCCCAAAACAAUCGGUUACCGUUCCUCUUGAUAUGUUUGAAACUCCAAAUCAAUGUUUUGCAAAACAGGAUGUUUGGUCGAUGAGUCUUCUCAGGUAAAAAAUGCUGUAUGUUCUAGCUAGUUUGUUACUUAGCUAUGUUAAAGUGAUUUACAUUUGCGAUUCUUCAGAGUGUUUAAAGCUCUUAUUUAAGCUACGCAUUUCCCUAGCAUUUCUGUCCAACUAUAAAAUGACCUUCCUUAUACGUAGUUAGGGAUCAAACCCAUUACCUGACUUAACAGUUUGGGAACCAAAACUGAUGAUUAAUAGCCUAAAAGGUGCAGUAGUUUUCAGGAAAGUUUGACCGAUUUAAGCUACAUUUGCAUGUCAUGUAGCUAGCUAGCUCUACAGACUGUAUUGCAUAUAAAGUUUCACAUAAAGAACGUAAAAUAAGCGUUUUCUUAUAUUUAACACGACCAUCGUUAAAAUGCAGCAUCAGCAGCAGAUCAGAAUUACAAACUUUGACAAGCAAAUCUACAGUGCAAUUUUCUGAUAAUAUUCUUCAUGAACUUUAUGAAAAGGGCUGUGUACUUUUGUACUAAGAUAACAAGUCCUUUAUUAAUUGCUAUUUUGUUUUGUACACAAAUAUUCAAAAAACAUUUUUAUAAAUUUGAAUCCUAAAUCGAACAUUUUUUCUUAUAUAUUUUGGCCUAUGGACUACAUUGUGUUACAUUGUGUAACAAGCAAAACAAUUUGCUCCAUAAAAAACCUGACAUACGAGCUUAAGUUGUAUGUAAGUGUGUCGUAACUUACAUAAAUGAGGUUAUGAAUAAAAAUUCUCCCUGAUGUGCACAAAAACAUGUGAAUGUAGCUUUAAAAAAGCAUCAAGUAUACUGUACAUAUUUACUCUAUUAUCCAGUUUCCCUGUUUUUCAAGUAAUCCUGCCUUUUUUUGCCAUGGAUUGUAAAAAAUAUUUUCAAAAUUAGCAUAUAUACACUAUCUGUAGAAGAAAUUUUUGUGGAACUUUUUUUUGCAGAACUUUGGGCCAAAUCUGUAAAAAUGUUCCACAGAAAUUUUAGAAAUCAGUCAAACAUCGCUUCUGAAAAAUUAUUCCGCAAAAUUUUCCAUUUCAGCUAGCCGCAACAAUUAAAAAUUUUUUUAUUUCUUCAUACUUUGAUUUCUUUAGGAUGUAAGUUAUUGGGUUCUAUGUUGCUCAUUUGUAAAUGCCCUAACUUCUGAAUACUAUGUUAGAAAAAAUACUGAUUUUGCCUCCGCUGAAAUAAUUGAACUUUAGGCACCCAAAAAUUAAUAUUGCACAUUUCGCAUAUAUUCUGCAAAUUGAAGCAUUUUUGUGUACCACUCACCCACAAAAAUAAGUUUCAGGAAAAUUUAUUGUGCAAAUAAAUUGUACCCUUGGCAAAGCAAGCAAGGCUCUUACAACAAGUUUGAAUGCAUAUUGAAAUUGAAAAACAAAAAGUUAUAAAGGUAUUGCUUAUAGCCUGGAAAAGAUUUGAGGUAGGUGUUUAUACUUCUUUUGCUUCAUAUUUCCAAACUUUGUUAAAAAAUUCCUAAGUUUUGCUAAAAACAACACUACACUCAGGUUUUUUACCCAAAAAUAAUUCAACAUAUCCGGCCUAUAUAUCCUGCAAUAUAGGAUUCCUGCUAAACCCACCUUUAUUUGUAGGUUAAAACACUAAUCCAGUGGUGAAGUAAUAAUAGACUAGAGUAAAUAUGGUAUUCUUGGUCACUGUUGAAUAUAACAUUUUAGGGAUGCUUUUAGGCAAGUUUAGGAACUUUCAAAUAAAUUAAAUAUUUAUAAAACUUCCAAAAUUUGUCUUUGAACACGCAGGUAUUCUUUUUGGAAAGACAGACAUCACAAAUACUUGGCGUUUCACAGUAUCACCUGAUUUUUUUAUCAAAACUUCAUAAAAUGGUCAGCCAUAAUCUAACACAGCCAUUAUCAGCAUUUCCAAAAAAAUGUUGAUAGAGUAAACUGCAAACAUUAAUUUGUGAAAAAUGAAUCACUAAAACUAAUAUAUAUUUAUAUAAUUUAUUAUAGUCUUAUUUUGGUUAAUAGUAUUUACUUCACAUUAUUUUUAAGGGAAACUAGACGUCUAUGGUUCUUCUAUGAUUUUACAGAAUUUGUAUCAUGAAAAUUUUUAGAACUUUCUAGGUAGAUCCCAAGUUUUUAUACUUUUUAUAACUGUGUGUAAAUCUGUAUAUUUUUGUUAUUUAUUCAGGUGUAAUUAAAUUGAAGUAUAUCUAAA